rnacentral:rRNA from 1 species
AGAGUUUGAUCCUGGCUCAGGACGAACGCUGGCGGCGUGCUUAAUACAUGCAAGUCGAGCGAGGUUACUGUUUCGGAUCCCUUCGGGGUGAAGAAGCUUUAACCUAGCGGCGGACGGGUGAGUAACGCGUGGGUAAUCUACCUCGUAGUUCGGGAUAACAGGCCGAAAGGCUUGCUAAUACCGGAUGAGUUCAUGCUUAUGCAUAUAGGCAUGAAGAAAGGGCUAGCCCGCUAUGAGAUGAGCCCGCGUCCCAUUAGCUUGUUGGUGGGGUAAUGGCCUACCAAGGCAACGAUGGGUAGCCGGCCUGAGAGGGUGUACGGCCACACUGGGACUGAGACACGGCCCAGACUCCUACGGGGGGCAGCAGUAGGGAAUUUUCGGCAAUGGGCGAAAGCCUGACCGAGCGACGCCGCGUGAGGGACGAAGGCCUUCGGGUCGUAAAGCUCUGUUCUUGAGGACGAAUAAGCCAGGGAGUGGAAAGCCCUGGUGAUGACUGUACUCAAGGAGAAAGCUCCGGCUAACUACGUGCCAGCAGCCGCGGUAAU